GUGGGGAAGAAAUAUGACUGUACCCACAAAGGAAGCAUCGGCUAACUACGUGCCAGCAGCCGCGGUAAGACGUAGGAUGCAAGCGUUGUCCGGAUUUAUUGGGCGUAAAGAGUUCGUAGGCGGCAUAUCAAGUCUGGUGUCAAAAACUGGAGCUCAACUCCAGCUCGGCACUGGAUACUGAUAAGCUAGAGUACAGAAGAGGCAAGAGGAAUUCCCAGUGUAGCGGUGAAAUGCGUAGAUAUUGG
rnacentral:rRNA from 1 species